rnacentral:rRNA from 1 species
CCAAUAGCGUAUAUUAAAGUUGCUGCAGUUAAAAAGCUCGUAGUUGAAUUUCGGGACCAAUAUGUUGGUCGUGCCUUGGUACGUACUGGCAUCGUUGGUUUCUCCUUUCUGAAGAACCAUGAUGUCAUUUAUUUGGUGUCGUGGGGAAUCAGGACUGUUACUUUGAAAAAAUUAGAGUGUUUAAAGCAGGCUCACGCUUGAAUACAUUAGCAUGGAAUAAUGAAAUAGGACGUUUGAUUCUAUUUUGUUGGUUUCUAGGAUCGACGUAAUGAUUAAUAGGGAUAGUUGGGGGCAUUAGUAUUCAAUUGUCAGAGGUGAAAUUCUUGGAUUUAUUGAAGACUAACUACUGCGAAAGCAUUUGCCAAGGAUGUUUUCAUUAAUCAAGAACGAGAGUUAGGGGAUCGAAGACGAUCAGAUACCGUCGUAGUCUUAACCAUAAACUAUGCCGACUAGGGAUCGGAUGAUGUUAAUUUUUUAAUGACUCAUUCGGCGCCUUACG